rnacentral:rRNA from 1 species
UACGUAGGGGUCCGAGCGUUGUCCGGAAUUAUUGGGCGUAAAGGGCUCGUAGGCGGUCUGUUGCGUCGGGAGUGAAAAUUCACAGUUUAACUGUGAACUUGCUUCCGAUACGGGCAGACUUGAGGUAUUCAGGGGAGAACGGAAUUCCUGGUGUAGCGGUGAAAUGCGCAGAGUAUCAGGAGGAACAGCCGGUGGCGAAGGCGGUUCUCUGGGCCUUACCUGACGCUGAGGAGCGAAAGCAUGGGGAGCAAACAGG